UGGUAAUUAAUUAUUAAUACUAUGGGUAUUUUAGUAAAUUGAUUAUCAUUCUCAUUUCUCAUUCCUAUUUAUUUUGCCAAAUAAACACAUCAAUGGCAUUCCAAUAUAUUCACAUUCACAUUUAUUUUUGCCAAGUAAUUAUUCCAGCUCAUUCUCAUUCACAGUCCAUUCCCAUUCACAACCCAUUCACAUUCGACCACAUUCCUAUUUCAUGAAGUAAACGCACCUUUAAAGAAUAAGAGCCACAUUGAUUUUGAUAACUUAAUUGUUAAUAUCUGUAGUCUAAAGAAUCUAAAAAAUAUCCUAGCCUUUGUCUUCUUAUACAUUUUUGUCUCUUCCUUUUAUCAUUUUCGGUAAAUGAUCAUGUUAUUGACAUACAUCAUCAAUCUUUUGAAAAACACUUUAUGAUAUUAUUCUUUGAACUCUUGUUUUAAGUUAGGAAUGCGGCACCCAACUUUGACUAUACAAAAGUUAACGUUUUUUCAUAUCCAUGCGAGAGCCUUAAUUUGCAGCACAGGAAACUUCAAAUCUUCAGCCUUUCACACGUACACUUUUACUCGUAUUCUCCAGGGACGAGCUGUUGGCCAACCCAUAGAAAAUACACAACUUAUUCGUUAAUAUUAUUAUGGGAUCUUCCCUCACGCUUUGUUUUCAUGCAGGUUGGUGACAUAAAUAAACCUAACAUUUGCUAGCUGUUCGCAUUGUUAGUUUUCAUUAUUUCUCAACUUGCUUGUCCAAUUUAUGUUCUGAAUAUUCCGCCAGACUAAGUUGUCAAGGAGAGUUUCAAUUUGGUGUUCCUAAAACAUUACUCCUUUUGUAUUUAUUAUUUAUUUGAAUAUUAUCACAAUUGAUUGAAGUAUAUAGAUGUGAUAAGAAGUGAAUGGAAGAUGAGUAAUACUUUUGGUAUAGCCAAUUUCACUUUUUUUAAUAUUGUCUAUUAUUUGAAAGUGCAAAAUAUGUUUUCGGUAAAUUUAGAAGAACAUAUUGGAUGAUCAUGAGAUAAUACAUGAAAAAAAAAAAAGAAGCCCUCCUUAAAAAGUUACGAGCUUCGAGGCAAAAAUAGAAUUUUCUUUUCUAAAUUUUAAAGGUGAAAAUAAAUUAAAAUGUGCAUUAGGAGAAAAAUCAAGGGGCACGCUAUGUGUGGGCUAAGAGAAAACUACAUUAUAUAAUAAAAUCUCAAAAAAAAAAAAAAAAUUCCUGGGUGUUCUUAGAGCACGCGUCACAGUGCUGAAUUGGUGCUCCCACCCAUUAAUAGAUUGACUCGUAUUAUCAUGUUGUAAAACAAAUUUAAGUGUUAAAAUUUGGUUUAUUCAUCUAAGUUCUAAAUUUUAUAGUAAUUUCCAACCGUUUCUUUUUUGUAACUUAUAUUUUUCUUACCGACCUCCAGCUGGUCUUCAACAUCACAAAUGACCACAUUCCUAUAUUUCUCAUCAUUCAAGGCCUUUCUGCUGUAGAAAAAAUGCUAGAGCAUUUGCCUAUUUGGUAUAAUCACUUGCUGUAAGAUAACAAUUAAUGAAAUUUGUAAGUGUAAUUAUUAAAAUUUAAUAAAUUUGGGUUGAAAUUAUAUUGAUUCUAAUAGAGUCAUUUUUAAAAUUUAAUAAUUUUUCUUAUUUAAAAAGGUUAAUUCACGAGGUAAUUUUCAAACUAGAAAGUGUUAGUUUAAUGGUAGGGUUUAAUCUUUAUUUAAAAAAAAAAAGAAUGUUAGAGUUUAAUUUAAUAAUCCAAUGGCUUCACUUCUAGAUUUUGCUUUCUUUUUUAAUUUUACUUGAAAAAAAUUUAGUCCAACCACCCAGUCUAGCACUCCUGCAUACGGAUCACAUAUUUAGGAAGUGCUGCAUUGAAUUUUCUCUCUUUUAGAAGCACCCAGCUCAACUUCCAAGAAAGAAGGUGAAAAAAAAAAGAAGAAAAAAUUCCACUAAGUGGUCUUUAAAAUUCUUCUCUUUGGCCUUUAAAUGGAGGAAAAUUGCCUGUAGUCAUUCUCAAGUGGCGAAGUAUGAAAAUUGAAAAUACUCAUUGGAUCACCCCCACAUAUGCUGUGCAUUUAUGAAAAUUUUGUUACAUAUGAUGCACAAAUCAACUCUAUUUUCUUUAACCGGAUGGCUAUGUACUGUUAAUGAGGUGGUGAAUGGGGUGUGAUGGCAGCAUUUUUGUAAAUCUUAGGAUUUUCAUUUUCUCCGGUGUUAGAUACACGAUAAGCAGGGACACAGUAAAAAAAAAAAAAAAAUGUAAAAUGAUUUGAAUCUUUCAGGAUAAAUAUUGGGCUUUGUCGCACCGUGCCUGUUUAGGCCAAUACUUUCAAUUUCGGGCUGUACUUGUGAUUUACAAAUGAGUGAAGCUUUUAAUCUUUAUAACACCCAUUUUAUAUUUUAUUUCUUAAAAUAUUCUCCGUUUAAUUUAUAAAAUAUAAAUUCACAUGCUAAAAUUAAUCAUUUCCUACUAAAAAAGAAUUUACUUUAAAUCUUUAUUUAUAAAAUACAUGUAAAU
rnacentral:lncRNA from 1 species